GUGGGGGAUAUUGCACAAUGGGGGAAACCCUGAUGCAGCGACGCCGCGUGAGGGAAGACGGCCUUCGGGUUGUAAACCUCUGUCUUCGGGGACGAAUAAAUGACGGUACCCGAGGAGGAAGCCACGGCUAACUACGUGCCAGCAGCCGCGGUAAUACGUAGGUGGCAAGCGUUGUCCGGAAUUACUGGGUGUAAAGGGAGCGUAGGCGGGGAGGCAAGUUGAAUGUCUAAACUAUCGGCUCAACUGAUAGUCGCGUUCAAAACUGCCACUCUUGAGUGCAGUAGAGGUAGGUGGAAUUCCUAGUGUAGCGGUGAAAUGCGUAGAUAUUAGGAGGAACACCAGUGGCGAAGGCGGCCUACUGGGCUGUAACUGACGCUGAGGCUCGAAAGCGUGGGUAGCAAACAGGA
rnacentral:rRNA from 1 species